rnacentral:rRNA from 1 species
UACGUAGGGUGCAAGCGUUGUCCGGAAUUAUUGGGCGUAAAGAGCUCGUAGGCGGUUUGUCGCGUCUGCUGUGAAAACACCGGGCUUAACUCGGUGCUUGCUUUCGAUACGGGCAGACUAGAGGUAUGCAGGGGAGAACGGAAUUCCUGGUGUAGCGGUGAAAUGCGCAGAUAUCAGGAGGAACACCGGUGGCGAAGGCGGUUCUCUGGGCAUUACCUGACGCUGAGGAGCGAAAGUGUGGGGAGCGAACAGG